rnacentral:rRNA from 1 species
CUCCCAUAUGGUCGACCUGCAGGCGGCCGCGAAUUCACUAGUGAUUAUUACCGCGGCUGCUGGCACAGAGUUAGCCGAGCCUUAUUCCCGGGGUACCGUCAUUAUCGUCCCCCGAAAAAGGAGUUUACAACCCGAAGGCCGUCAUCCUCCACGCGGCGUUGCUCGUUCAGGCUUGCGCCCAUUGACGAAAAUUCCUUGCUGCUGCCUCCCGUAGGAGUCUGGGCCGUGUCUCAGUCCCAGUCUGGCUGUCUGUCCUCACAGACCAGCUACCCGUCAUCGGCUCGGUAGGCCGUUACCCCACCGACUACCUGAUGGGCCGCGGGCCACUCUCCCUGCGCGUUGCCGCUUUCCUCUUGCGAGCGUAUGCGGGAUUAGCAGCGCUUUCGCGCUGUUGUCCCCCACAAGGAGGCAUGUUCCCACGUGAUCCUCAGCCGUGCGCCACUCACCACCCGAAGGUGGCGCGUGCGACUUGCAUGCAUUAGGCACGCCGCCAGCGUUCGUCCUGAGCCAUGAUCAAACUCUAAUCGAAUUCCCGCGGCCGCCAUGGCGGCCGGGAGCAUGCGAC